rnacentral:rRNA from 1 species
CGAUGGGAGCUUGCUCCCUGGUGGCGAGCGGCGGACGGGUGAGUAAUGCAUAGGAAUCUGCCCGGUAGUGGGGGAUAACCUGGGGAAACCCAGGCUAAUACCGCAUACGUCCUACGGGAGAAAGCAGGGGCUCUUCGGACCUUGCGCUAUCGGAUGAGCCUAUGUCGGAUUAGCUGGUUGGUGAGGUAAUGGCUCACCAAGGCGACGAUCCGUAGCUGGUCUGAGAGGAUGAUCAGCCACACUGGGACUGAGACACGGCCCAGACUCCUACGGGAGGCAGCAGUGGGGAAUAUUGGACAAUGGGCGCAAGCCUGAUCCAGCCAUGCCGCGUGUGUGAAGAAGGCCCUCGGGUUGUAAAGCACUUUCAGCGAGGAAGAAGGCUUGGCGGCUAAUAUCCGUCAAGAAGGACAUCACUCGCAGAAGAAGCACCGGCUAACUCCGUGCCAGCAGCCGCGGUAAUACGGAGGGUGCGAGCGUUAAUCGGAAUUACUGGGCGUAAAGCGCGCGUAGGUGGUUUGGCACGCCGGUUGUGAAAGCCCCGGGCUCAACCUGGGAACGGCAUCCGGAACGGCCAGACUAGAGUGCAGGAGAGGAAGGUAGAAUUCCCGGUGUAGCGGUGAAAUGCGUAGAGAUCGGGAGGAAUACCAGUGGCGAAGGCGGCCUUCUGGCCUGACACUGACACUGAGGUGCGAAAGCGUGGGUAGCAAACAGGAUUAGAUACCCUGGUAGUCCACGCCGUAAACGAUGUCGACUAGCCGUUGGGACCUUUAAGGACUUAGUGGCGCAGUUAACGCGAUAAGUCGACCGCCUGGGGAGUACGGCCGCAAGGUUAAAACUCAGAUGAAUUGACGGGGGCCCGCACAAGCGGUGGAGCAUGUGGUUUAAUUCGAUGCAACGCGAAGAACCUUACCUACCCUUGACAUCCAGAGAACUUGGCAGAAAUGCCUUGGUGCCUUCCGGAACUCUGAAACAAGUGCUGCAUGGCUGUCUUCAGCUCCUGG